rnacentral:tRNA from 1 species
GAGCGAUGGCAGAGUGGUCGAACGCGGCGGUCUUGAAAACCGUUAUAGGGCAACCUAUCGGGGGUUCAAAUCCCUCUCGCUCC